rnacentral:rRNA from 1 species
AAACUGCGAAUGGCUCAUUAAAUCAGUUAUCGUCUAUUUGAUAGUACCUUACUACUUGGAUAACCGUGGUAAUUCUAGAGCUAAUACAUGCUGAAAACCCCGACUUCGGAAGGGAUGUAUUUAUUAGAUUAAAAACCAAUGCCCUCCGGGGCUCCCUGGUGAUUCAUAAUAACUGCUCGAAUCGCACGGCCUUGCGCCGGCGAUGGUUCAUUCAAAUUUCUGCCCUAUCAACUUUCGACGGCUGGGUCUUGGCCAGCCAUGGUGACAACGGGUAACGGAGGGUUAGGGCUCGACCCCGGAGAAGGAGCCUGAGAAACGGCUACUACAUCCAAGGAAGGCAGCAGGCGCGCAAAUUACCCAAUCCCGACGCGGGGAGGUAGUGACAAUAAAUACUGAUACAGGGCUCUUUUGGGUCUUGUAAUUGGAAUGAGUACAAUUUAAUUCCCUUAACGAGGAACAAUUGGAGGGCAAGUCUGGUGCCAGCAGCCGCGGUAAUUCCAGCUCCAAUAGCGUAUAUUAAAGUUGUUGCAGUUAAAAAGCUCGUAGUUGAACCUUGGGCCUGGCUGGCCGGUCCGCCUCACCGCGUGCACUGGUCCGGCCGGGCCUUUCCCUCUGGGGAGCCGCAUGCCCUUCACUGGGCGUGCCGGGGAACCAGGACGUUUACUUUGAAAAAAUUAGAGUGUUCAAAGCAGGCUUAUGCUCGGAUACAUUAGCAUGGAAUAAUAGAAUAGGACGCGCGGUUCUAUUUUGUUGGUUUCUAGGACCGCCGUAAUGAUUAAUAGGGACAGUCGGGGGCAUCAGUAUUCAAUUGUCAGAGGUGAAAUUCUUGGAUCUAUUGAAGACUAACUACUGCGAAAGCAUUUGCCAAGGAUGUUUUCAUUAAUCAGGAACGAAAGUUAGGGGAUCGAAGACGAUCAGAUACCGUCGUAGUCUUAACCAUAAACUAUGCCGACUAGGGAUCGGACGGUGUUAUUUUUUGACCCGUUCGGCACCUUACACGAAAGUACAAGUUUCUGGGUUC